rnacentral:lncRNA from 1 species
CGGAACUCCUCACUGAGCUAAGUAGGGUGAUGAGGAGUUUUAAGUGAGCUUUUCGUGUUCUAGUGCAUACCCAGAUGGUCUAACAGUUUGACUCUGGAGGCAGCGGUGGUAAUGACAGAGUCCAAGUCUCUUCGUUCCCUGUGUUCCUGGAUUAUUCUCGUGGUGAUGUGAUCCUGCACUCAGAAGUUUGGACAGUGGCCUCCUGUUUCCCCAGCUUUCUGACUGGCAGAUCAAGGAAGGAAGGAGAAGAGCUGGGACAUCGGAGAAUGAACAAAGGGGAUGAGAGACAGCUGGGAAGUGUGGAGAAACAGAAGGACAAAGGGUCAGAGAGAAGGAUGCAGCAUUCAUCUCCAGCAGUGACCCCCUGAGCAGUGAGAAGAAAAUCAGAAGCUUCAUGGAAAACCAGCCCACCUUGGUGAAAACAGAGAGGUCCUACACACAGGAUAAGCCCAAAGUUCUAGCAAUCCUCAAAUCCAGUUGGUUUUUCUGUUCAGCUGCGUUUCCUUUCCUCACCCCCAAACACACUUGGCAGACACCAGUUGUCUAGAGCAUUAGCUACCCUAGGGAGAGCUGCCUGGUCCAUGACUGCAAGGCUCAGUAUGUGUGGCCAGAAGAUGCCCCUAGAUGUCCAGCGUGAAAGGCCAACAUUGGAGAAUCCAUUUCUCUUAUCAUUCCCCACUCUCAAAUCGCUGCAGUUGGGUACCAUCUUGAGAGGAAAGUAUUAUUUAAAGUCAAACUAUCUUGGGGACCUGAUAACAAAAAGAAUCACACGUCAAGGGGCCUGGAAUUAGCCUGCCACAGACAGACCCAGAGUGGAAGACACUCUAAGGACCAGUCAUGGAGAAUGUGAGAGACAAGCUGGAACACCGCAAGAAACUCAGGUGCUGUACAUU